rnacentral:rRNA from 1 species
UACGUAGGGGGCGAGCGUUGUCCGGAGUUACUGGGCGUAAAGCGCACGCAGGCGGUCUGCUAAGUUUGGAGUGACAGUUGGUGGCUUAACUGCCAAAGUGCUUCGAAAACUGACAGACUUGAGGGCUUCAGAGGGACACGGAAUUCCGGGUGGAGUGGUGAAAUGCGUAGAUAUCGGAAAGAACACCAACGGCGAAAGCACUCUGCUGGGCCGACACUGACACUGAGAGACGAAAGCUAGGGGAGCGAAUGGG